rnacentral:rRNA from 1 species
GAUGAACGCUGGCGGCGUGCCUAAUACAUGCAAGUCGAGCGAACGGACGAGAAGCUUGCUUCUCUGAUGUUAGCGGCGGACGGGUGAGUAACACGUGGAUAACCUACCUAUAAGACUGGGAUAACUUCGGGAAACCGGAGCUAAUACCGGAUAAUAUUUUGAACCGCAUGGUUCAAAAGUGAAAGACGGUCUUGCUGUCACUUAUAGAUGGAUCCGCGCUGCAUUAGCUAGUUGGUAAGGUAACGGUUUACCAAGGCAACGAUGCAUAGCCGACCUGAGUGGGUGAUCGGCCACACUGGAACUGAGACACGGUCCAGACUCCUACGGGAGGCAGCAGUAGGGAAUCUUCCGCAAUGGGCGAAAGCCUGACGGAGCAACGCCGCGUGAGUGAUGAAGGUCUUCGGAUCGUAAAACUCUGUUAUUAGGGAAGAACAUAUGUGUAAGUAACUGUGCACAUCUUGACGGUACCUAAUCAGAAAGCCACGGCUAACUACGUG